UAAGAAAUUAAUUUUUUUUCUAAAAUUAAUUAUAUGAUUGAAGCAUAGAUAAAAAUUAUUAUUUUAAAUAAUAGUAUUAAAAAUUAAUGUUUAUAUUAAUUAAUUUAUAUUAAAGUAUAUAUAGCAAUUUAUAUUAUAUUAGGUAAAUAUUGGUGCCAGCAGUCGCGGUUACACCAAAUAAGGAAAUUAAUUUGCUGUUAAUUUAAUGACAAUUUGGCUAUUUAAUUAUUUAUAAUUAUAUUUAAAAUAUUUUGGUGAAAUAUUUAUUUUAAAUUACUUGUAAAUUAAUUUAAUUUUAAUUUAUCAUUAGUAGAUUUCAAUAAAAAACUAGGAUUAGAUACCCUAUUAUUUUAAUUAUAUAAAAUAAGUUAAGAGAUUAAAUGUUUAAAUCAUUAGAUUUAAAGAAUUUGGCGGUAUUUUUAUCAUUAGAGGAACUUGUCUAGUAAACGAUAAUCCACGAUAGGAUUUACUUAAUUAUUAAAAUCUUAUGUAUUGUUGUUUUAAGAUUAAAUUGUAAGAUUUUGGUCUUAAUAUAUAAUUGUGAUAAUAAUUCAAAUCUAAAUGUAGUUUAGUUAAGAUUUUGAUGAGUUACUUUAUGUUUAUUUAAAUAGAAUGGUUGAAUUAAUAAAUUUAAUUUUAUUAUGAAAUAGGAUUUAAUUGUAAACAUUAAAUAAUAAUUUGUGUUGAAUAUUAUAAAAAAUAUGUACAAAUUGCCCGUCAUUCUUGUUUAUGAGAUGAGAGAAGUCGUAACAUAGUAAAGGUACUGGAAAGUGCUUUUAGAUUUAU
rnacentral:ncRNA from 1 species